rnacentral:rRNA from 1 species
CGCGAAUCGCCCUUCGGGGUGCAGCAGGCGCGAAAACUUUACAAUGCCGGCAACGGCGAUAAGGGAACCUCGAGUGCCAGGUUACAAAUCUGGCUGUCGUGAUGCCUAAAAAGCAUUGCAUAGCAAGGGCCGGGCAAGACCGGUGCCAGCCGCCGCGGUAACACUGGCGGCUCGAGUGGUAACCGUUAUUAUUGGGUCUAAAGGGUCUGUAGCCGGCCGGGUAAGUCUCUUGGGAAAUCUGGCAGCUUAACUGUCAGGCCUUCAGGAGAUACUGCCUGGCUCGAGGCCGGGAGAGGUGAGAGGUACUUCAGGGGUAGGGGUGAAAUCUUGUAAUCCUUGAAGGACCACCAGUGGCGAAGGCGUCUCACCAGAACGGACCUGACGGCAAGGGACGAAAGCUAGGGGCACGAACCGGAUUAGAUACCCGGGUAGUCCUAGCCGUAAACGAUACUCGCUAGGUGUCGGCCACGGUGCGACCGUGGUCGGUGCCGUAGGGAAGCCGUGAAGCGAGCCACCUGGGAAGUACGGCCGCAAGGCUGAAACUUAAAGGAAUUGGCGGGGGAGCAC